UACGGGGGGGGCAAGCGUUGUUCGGAAUUACUGGGCGUAAAGGGCUCGUAGGCGGCCAACUAAGUCAGACGUGAAAUCCCUCGGCUUAACCGGGGAACUGCGUCUGAUACUGGAUGGCUUGAGUUCGGGAGAGGGAUGCGGAAUUCCAGGUGUAGCGGUGAAAUGCGUAGAUAUCUGGAGGAACACCGGUGGCGAAGGCGGCAUCCUGGACCGACACUGACGCUGAGGUGCGAAAGCGUGGGGAGCGAUCCGG
rnacentral:rRNA from 1 species